GAUGAACGCUAGCUACAGGCUUAACACAUGCAAGUCGAGGGGCAGCAUGGAAGAGGCUUGCUUCUUCUGAUGGCGACCGGCGCACGGGUGCGUAACGCGUAUCAAACCUGCCUCAUACUCGGGGAUAGCCUUGCGAAAGUAAGAUUAAUACCCGAUGUUGUUAUGUUACCGCAUGGUGAUAUAACCAAAGAUUUAUCGGUAUGAGAUGGUGAUGCGUCCGAUUAGGUAGUAGGCGGGGUAACGGCCCACCUAGCCUUCGAUCGGUAGGGGUUCUGAGAGGAAGGUCCCCCACACUGGAACUGAGACACGGUCCAGACUCCUACGGGAGGCAGCAGUGAGGAAUAUUGGUCAAUGGACGAAAGUCUGAACCAGCCAAGUAGCGUGCAGGAUGACGGCCCUCCGGGUUGUAAACUGCUUUUAGUUGGGAAUAAAAAAGAGGACGUGUCCUCUAUUGUAUGUACCUUCAGAAAAAGGACCGGCUAAUUCCGUGCCAGCAGCCGCGGUAAUACGGAAGGUCCAGGCGUUAUCCGGAUUUAUUGGGUUUAAAGGGAGCGUAGGCGGAUUAUUAAGUCAGUGGUGAAAGACGGUGGCUCAACCAUCGUUAGCCAUUGAAACUGGUAGUCUUGAGUGCAGACAGGGAUGCUGGAACUCGUGGUGUAGCGGUGAAAUGCUUAGAUAUCACGAUGAACUCCGAUCGCGAAGGCAGGUGUCCGGGCUGCAACUGACGCUGAGGCUCGAAAGUGUGGGUAUCAAACAGG
rnacentral:rRNA from 1 species